rnacentral:rRNA from 1 species
UAGGGAAUAUUGGGCAAUGGGUGAGAGCCUGACCCAGCCAUGCCGCGUGUAGGAAGACGGCCCUACGGGUUGUAAACUACUUUUAUACAGGAACAAAAAGGGGGAUGCGUCCUUCAUUGAGGGUACUGUAGGAAUAAGCACCGGCUAACUCCGUGCCAGCAGCCGCGGUAAUACGGAGGGUGCAAGCGUUGUCCGGAUUUAUUGGGUUUAAAGGGUACGUAGGCGGGCUAGUAAGUCUGAGGUGAAAGCUCUCGGCUCAACCGGGAAAUUGCCUUGGAUACUGCUAGUCUUGAGUACAGUAGAGGUGGGCGGAAUUCAUGGUGUAGCGGUGAAAUGCAUAGAUACCAUGAGGAACACCGAUAGGGAAGCCAGCUCACUGGACUGUUACUGACGCUGAGGUACGAAAGCGUGGGGAGCGAACAGGAUUAGAUACCCCCGUAGUCC